UGGGGGUAUAGCUCAGUUGGUAGAGUGUUUGCCCCUCAAGCAUGAGGCCCUGGGUUCAAUCCCCAGUACCGCAA